UGUAUUGAACUAGAAUGUAAGAAUAAUUUGAAACCAGGAGGACUGAACAGACGAAGCGAAGAGAUUCGGUCGAAAAAGCCGGUGUGUUUGUGCGGCAGCUGCUACUUUGAGACGUCAGUUCAGAGGAAGAGCGGAUCCGGUUUCUAACAAACUGUUUACGUUUAAAAGCCUGGCUUCCUUUGGGCUGCAAAGAAAGAAGGAACGACUGAAGACUUUUGCACAGUGCCGUCACCCCUCCAGUGAUUUAUGGCUCAGCCUCAGGGUGUCACCAGAGCAGGAUGCGCCAGGAAAACAUCCAGAUGCAGGGGGCCGGGAGGCGUCCUGAUCAGCUACCUGAACCGUCUCAGCUGGGACUUUUUAACACAGGCGAGAUUCAGCAGUUUGUUUUUACCACAGAGGCGACAUUUCCCGGAUUCUCAAACCCAAAUCUUGAUAGGUAUGGGGCAAGGUGAGAGUUCAUCUAUUAAACUCACUGAAGAUGAACAGACAAACUAAAAGCUAAAGCAUAGACAUUUUUUAUAAGCAUAUUUGUGAGCCUGCCUCUUUAUUAUUAAAGUGAAUAUAAUUUCAGAUCUUUGUAUAA